CAGCGUUUCUUCUACGCUCCCUCAUUCUUCCAUUCUCAUUUCUGCCGUCAUAGAGAGAGAGAGAGAGGGAGAGAGAAGAAACAUUAGUCAUGGCCUCGGUGUCGUCUCUGUCACCGCCAACCCCCUUCGUCACCGCCUCCUCCUCCCUUGGUAACUCCGUCCGCGUCCUCAAUGUCAAUUCCAACGCCACCAUUGCAACACUCAAGGCUCCUCCCUCUGAAGUUGAAGUUUCGCAAAUGCACUUCGAUCCCAAGAGUUUUUGGCAUCCACCGUGUCCUCUUUCCCUCCCUUUAGAGAGAAAUAACAGUGCAAGAAACAGAAAUUGUGUGCUCUAAGGGCCCUCAAACACUUUGGUCUGCUAGGAUAUCAGGAAAAGUCACUAUUUUAGCUGGUAAUGGAAAUUUUUGGGCAGUUGGAUGUGAAGAUGGAUGUCUGCAGAUUUACACAAAGUGUGGGAGACGAGCAAUGCCUACCAUGAUGAUGGGUUAUGCAACAACAUUUGUAGACUGUGAUGAAUGCUGGACAUUACUGCUGGUGACAAGAAAAGGAUCCCUGUACUAGUGGGAUUUAUUCAACCAAACCUGUCUUCUUCAAGAUUCAUUGACUUCUCUAGUUGCUUCAAGAUUCGUAGACGAUUACUGAAAUUUAGGGGCUGUUUUUUUUUUAAGCUUUUGAGAAAAUAGAUUAAGGUUGUGUAGAAAAUGAAUUAUUUUAGAUUUUGAUUUUCCUUUUCAAAAUAAAAGUGAUUUUUAAUACAAAAACCAGGGGAAAUGAAGAGCUCUCAUUGUAAUUGGAAAACUAGAUAGAGGAAAAGUUCAUGAAAGAGAUUAAUUGUCUGAUUACA